rnacentral:tRNA from 1 species
UGUAGCUCAGUGGUAGAGUGCUUGCCUAGCAUGUAUAAAGCUCUGGGUUCAAUUCUCAGCA